rnacentral:rRNA from 1 species
AUUGAACGCUGGCGGCAGGCUUAACACAUGCAAGUCGAGCGGAGCGAGGGUGCUUGCACCUUAGCUUAGCGGCGGACGGGUGAGUAAUGCUUAGGAAUCUGCCUAUUAGUGGGGGACAACGUUUCGAAAGGAACGCUAAUACCGCAUACGUCCUACGGGAGAAAGCAGGGGAUCUUCGGACCUUGCGCUAAUAGAUGAGCCUAAGUCGGAUUAGCUAGUUGGUGGGGUAAAGGCCUACCAAGGCGACGAUCUGUAGCGGGUCUGAGAGGAUGAGCCGCCACACUGGGACUGAGACACGGCCCAGACUCCUACGGGAGGCGGCAGUGGGGAAUAUUGGACAAUGGGGGGAACCCUGAUCCAGCCAUGCCGCGUGUGUGAAGAAGGCCUUUUGGUUGUAAAGCACUUUAAGCGAGGAGGAGGCUUACCUAGUUAAUACCUGGGAUAAGUGGACGUUACUCGCAGAAUAAGCACCGGCUAACUCUGUGCCAGCAGCCGCCGUAAAAC